AGCUUCAUCCAAUACCUCGACACGUUUGCGCCGUCUGAAAAGGGCAAGGCGGAGAAGGAGUUGGCUGCUCUGAAGGGACCAAACAACAGAAGCCUCGGAAUAAGCACAGCGAGACAGCUGGUUCAACUCUAUGGCAGGGCUGUGUGACCAAGCAUGAGCUGGAGCAAUUUGAGAACAAAGACUUGCAAACCACUCCUGUAAAUGUGUAAACUACUCUGUAGACGUGUGAAAGUGAUCCGCUGGUAAAGUGCUUGUGAGGGCAGUCUCAAGAAUCCGUUCAGCAAACGUGAAUGGGUGCAUAUUCUGUGAACUGGUAUGCUCAGCACUGGCUCCAAAUUUCCAACUUUAUUGUUUUCAAAUACUUCUUUUUUUUUUCUGUCAUAUUUGUGCUGCACACAGGGUACUCUCUUUCGCAAAGUCUUCAUGAAACAAAAAAACGUUUGUGGUUCCAGCUAUGUUUCCUCCAUAAACAUGGAAAUCAUUAGCAUGC